AAAAUUUUUAUUGAGGUUAAUUAGGAUGAUUAGAGAUUAAUGGUGUGGAAUAAGAAAUUUGAUUAGAUAUGGAGGGUGAUUGGGUAUUUAAGGGUAAAAGAUUUUUUUUGUAAAAUUGAAUUGGAUAGAUUAAAGAUAAGGUUUUAGGGUAAGGUUUAGAUGAAAAGAGGGUUUAGAGAAGUUUGUUUUAAGUUUGGAUAAUGA
rnacentral:misc_RNA from 1 species